rnacentral:pre_miRNA from 1 species
GUAGUAUUCCCUCCGUCCCAAAAUUCUUGUCUUACAUUUGUUUAGAUACGGAUGUAUCUAACACUAAAAUGUAACUAGAUACAUCCGUAUUUAGACAAAUUUAAGAGAAGAAUUUUGGGACGGAGGGAGUACAAA